AACGGACGCCAAGUGAUGAGAAAAUCUCACUUGGCCCUUUGGGCCAGGUCAGCUAAAAAUGUUGACAUUGCUAUGGGAACCCUGCCCCUUUUAAGACAGACUUCAUACAGGCACUUAUCAAGGAUAAAAAGAAUCAAGCAUCCCUUAAUUUCACAUUCCACAUUAUGAAGGCGAUCUCUUUUAAUAUAGAUGACUCAAAAGUUGAUCACACCUAACCCACUGAACCAGAAGAAGGAUACAACAGAUACGGAUACUGUGCUUCAAAACUUGCCGUCGCCCAGAAACUAUCAGCAAGGACCAGCUGAGAGCUAAUAAUUUGACAAAAGAGACUUCAAUUUCCUGAUUGUGAACUUUUCUUAUGUAGCAGCAAUCCAAUUAUACCUGAAAAUGAAUUUCAUGUCUCCUUGCUGAUUAUUCCACUCUUUGCAUCUCAUGCAUGUAGGUAAUUUCCUUAAAAAAAAACAGUUGCUGCUUAUGCUUAAAAAAGAAACUUCUAAAACAAUGGUUGUUAAUGAUCAAGUUGAUUGAAAUUCACUCUUUACAUGAUUUAUUGAUUACAAAAAUUCUAGAUGUGAAAAAAAUAAUCAUAUACAGUCAAACCUGCCUUAAGGUCACCCACCACCUCAUUUAAGAGGUCAACUAUCUCUAACGGUCUCUUGGUGACCCUCUCAAGCAUUUUCUCUAUAUAUUUAACUCAUUUCAGUGGUCACCUGUCCCAUGCGGUCACCUUAUUUUAUGCACGAAAUCAUCAUUUUACUGUUUUUAAUUACAAUUAUAAUCAUGAUGAAAAAUAUAUGUGUUCAGUAUCAAAAUCAAAAUGAGAAUCGGAACCUGUUUCACGGUUUGCAACAUAGAUCUUGCAAUAGGAAGUAAAUUUGUGAAUCCUUGUAUUCCACUCCCUUCAAUUAAUACCAUUGAAAAGCAUUUCACAGACUUGUUUAUCCAAUUAUAUCAGCACCUUUAAAUCAAUAAAUGUCUUCUUCAAAUUGACAGUGCAAGAGUCCACCCUUUAAUAUUUGUCUGCUCAAAUGAACGAACGAUAAAUCUUCCAACUAAAACACUAAACCAAGUUGCAUUCCCAGCCACAGAAACUCUUUUUAAAGGUCACUUUUCUCGAGCUGUCCCUUUUGAUACUUCCCAUGAGUGACAUGCUUAAAACAGGUUUGACUGUACAAGAUCCUUAAUACUUAUAUUUUUAUAUUCAAAUUUUAUAAAAACUCAAAUCCCACAAAUUUUCAGCAGUAUCAUAUUUUUUUCUCCAUCUUUUUUUUUUCUUUCAUUUUUCUUAAAUAUACUGCUGUCCCAACAAAAGAUGUGUAAUAUAAAGUCUAGAUUCAUGGGAAAUUCUAAAAUUUCAUAUUUUAUCAAAAUUUUUACCUUAAUUGCAAUGGGCCUGUUUAAAAAGAAUCUACUGAAUAAAUAAAAUUAUAAUUAGGGUUUAAAAGAUAAAGUUGAAAGUCAAUUCUUCCCAUGAUUCUAAACUAAAAUUCUGAAUGUGGUUAAACUGCAAUGAGUCAUCUGCAGACUUCCUUUCUGGGAGCAUGUGUAUUAAAAAAUAAAGGAAAUAGAUCUUCAGCCUUAUAAAACAUAUUAUAAAGGUCUUACUUAUUUAACAAAUCUCAUAACCAAAUUCUUUUAACUCAAAUUUAGAGAAACUCAAACCUCUAUAUCACACAGGUUUUCAGCAGUAUCAUAAUUUAUCUUCAGUUCUCCACAUUUUUUUUUUUUAUUACUUUUUUCAUUUUUCUUAAAUAUACUGCCGUGCCAACAAAAGAUGUGUAAUAUAAAGGUUAGAGUUUUUUGGGGAAAUUCUAAUAUUUUGAUAUUUCAGCAUAAUUUUUUUUUUUACUUUUUUCAUUUUUCUUAAAUAUACUGCCGCGCCAACAAAAGCAUGUGUAUUAAAAAAAUAAAGGAAAUAGAUCUUCACCCUUAUAAAACAUACUUUAAAAAAUAAAGGUCUAAUAUAACAAAUCUUAUAACCAAUUUCUUUGAACUCAAAUUUAGAGAAAUUCAAACCUCUAUAUCACACAGGUUUUCAGCAGUAUCAUAUUUUUUUCUUCAGUUCUCCACAUUUUUUUUUUUACUUUUUUCAUUUUUCUUAAAUAUACUGCCGCGCCAACAAAAGAUGUGUGAUAUAAAGGCUAGAGUUUUUUGUGGAAAUUCUAAUAUUUUGAUAUUUCAGCAUAAUUUUUUUUUAACUUUUUUCAUUUUUCUUAAAUAUACUGCCGCGCCAACAAAAGCAUGGGUAUUAAAAAAAUAAAGGAAAUAGAUCUUCACCCUUAUAAAGCAUACUUUAAAAAAUAAAGGUCUAAUAUAACAAAUCUUAUAACCAAUUUCUUUGAACUCAAAUUUAGAGAAACUCAAACCUCUAUAUCACACAGGUUUUCAGCAGUAUCAUAUUUUUUUCUUCAGUUCUCCACAUUUUUUUUUUUACUUUUUUCAUUUUUCUUAAAUAUACUGCUGCGCCAACAAAAGAUGUGUGAUAUAAAGGCUAGAGUUUUUUGGGGAAAUUCUAAUAUUUUGAUAUUUCAGCAUAAUUUCACCUUAAUUUUGGUGGCUACUUAAAAAGAAUCUACUGAAUAAUUAGGGUUUUUAAAGAUAAAGUUGAAAGU